rnacentral:sRNA from 1 species
UAGGUUGCACGUCGACCUCUUUGUCGAGUU